UUGAACGCUGGCGGCAUGCCUUACACAUGCAAGUCGAACGGUAACGCGGGGCAACCUGGCGACGAGUGGCGAACGGGUGAGUAAUACAUCGGAACGUGCCCAGUAGUGGGGGAUAGCCCGGCGAAAGCCGGAUUAAUACCGCAUACGACCUACGGGUGAAAGCAGGGGAUCGCAAGACCUUGCGCUAUUGGAGCGGCCGAUGUCAGAUUAGCUAGUUGGUGGGGUAAAAGCCUACCAAGGCGACGAUCUGUAGCUGGUCUGAGAGGACGACCAGCCACACUGGGACUGAGACACGGCCCAGACUCCUACGGGAGGCAGCAGUGGGGAAUUUUGGACAAUGGGGGCAACCCUGAUCCAGCCAUGCCGCGUGCGGGAAGAAGGCCUUCGGGUUGUAAACCGCUUUUGUCAGGGAAGAAACGGUCUGCACUAAUACUGUGGACUAAUGACGGUACCUGAAGAAUAAGCACCGGCUAACUACGU
rnacentral:rRNA from 1 species